rnacentral:misc_RNA from 1 species
GAUGAAGAACGCAGCGAAAUGCGAUAAGUAAUGUGAAUUGCAGAAUUCAGUGAAUCAUCGAGUCUUUGAACGCACAUUGCCCCCCCUGGUAUUCCGGGGGGCAUGCCUGUCCGAGCGUCAUUGCUGCCCUCAAGCACGGCUUGUGUGUUGGGCCCCCGUCCCCGGUUUCCCCCGGGGACGGGCCCGAAAGGCAGCGGCGGCACCGCGUCCGGUCCUCGAGCGUAUGGGGCUUUGUCACCCGCUCUGUAGGCCCGGCCGGCGCCAGCCGACACCCAACUUUAUUUCUAAGGUUGACCUCGGAUCAGGUAGGGAUACCCGCUGAACUUAAGCAUAUCAAUAAGCGGAGGA